AUUGAACGCUGGCGGCAGGCCUAACACAUGCAAGUCGAACAAGUGGCGGACGGGUGAGUAAUGUAUGGGCAACUGCCUGAUGGAGGGGGCUAACUACUGGAAACGGUAGCUAAUACCGCAUACUAUCAGAUGUGCCCAGAUGGGAUUAGCUGGUUGGUGGGGUAACGGCUCACCAAGGCGACGAUCCCUAGCUGGUCUGAGAGGAUGACCAGCCACACUGGAACUGAGACACGGCCCAGACUCCUACGGGAGGCAGCAGUGGGGAAUAUUGCACAAUGGGCGCAAGCCUGAUGCAGCCAUGCCGCGUGUAUGAAGAAGGCCUUCGGGUUGUAAAGUACUUUCGGCGGGGAAGCGUUACCCGCAGAAGAAGCACCGGCUAACUCCGUGCCAGCCGCCGCGGUAAUUC
rnacentral:rRNA from 1 species